rfam:Candidatus Kaiserbacteria bacterium RIFOXYD1_FTLL_42_15 rifoxyd1_full_scaffold_1403, whole genome shotgun sequence.
GCCAAUGUAGCUCAGAUGGUAGAGCAACGCCAUGGUAAGGCGUAGGUCCCCAGUUCAAUUCUGGGCAUUGGCU